AGAGUUUGAUCAUGGCUCAGAACGAACGCUGGCGGCAGGCUUAACACAUGCAAGUCGAACGCUCGUAGCAAUACGGGAGUGGCAGACGGGUGAGUAACGCGUGGGGACAUACCCUCCGGUUCGGAAUAGCUCAGGGAAACUUGGAUUAAUACCGGAUACGGCUGAGAGGCGAAAGAUUUAUCGCCGGAGGAUUGGCCCGCGUUCGAUUAGCUUGUUGGUGAGGUAACGGCUCACCAAGGCGAUGAUCGAUAGCUGGUCUGAGAGGAUGAUCAGCCACAUUGGGACUGAGACACGGCCCAAACUCCUACGGGAGGCAGCAGUGGGGAAUAUUGGACAAUGGGCGCAAGCCUGAUCCAGCCAUGCCGCGUGAGUGAUGACGGCCUUAGGGUUGUAAAGCUCUUUCGCUCGGGACGAUAAUGACGGUACCGAGAUAAGAAGCCCCGGCUAACUUCGUGCCAGCAGCCGCGGUAAUACGAAGGGGGCUAGCGUUGUUCGGAAUUACUGGGCGUAAAGCGCGUGUAGGCGGGUCUUUAAGUCAGGGGUGAAAUGCCGAGGCUCAACCUUGGAACUGCCUUUGAUACUGGAGACCUUGAGUCCGGGAGAGGUGAGUGGAAUUGCGAGUGUAGAGGUGAAAUUCGUAGAUAUUCGCAAGAACACCAGUGGCGAAGGCGGCUCACUGGCCCGGAACUGACGCUGAGACGCGAAAGCGUGGGGAGCAAACAGGAUUAGAUACCCUAGUAGUCC
rnacentral:rRNA from 1 species